AUGCAUUGGUCUAGCUUUCUCUCGCCCCACUGGAUUUCAUUGGAGUUGGUGACCCUCAAGAACCAAUCCUUCCACCCCACGGUAGGGCUGGGCCAGGAACGGAAAGUAUCCUUCCAUAGAUCCAAAGAAAAGUUCUCUGCUCUAAAAGGGAUCCUGUUGGUUUCUGCGUUUAUGAGGUCGGUUGGAUCUGGAUCCCCUAGCGGGCCGAGGCAUUGGAGGUGUGGUUGAUCGGUGGGGAUAACAAUUUUAUUAGCCGAUUCCUAAUGGU
rnacentral:lncRNA from 1 species